rnacentral:lncRNA from 1 species
AUGCACAUUCUUUCUCUUUCAAAACAAAUAAAAAAAAAAAAAAAACAAUUUGUUGUGACUAUGUAUAUUGCCUUGCAGAGCCGUGGGGGAAAAAAAAUGCGUCUCACCUUUGUAGUGCUGAAAGUUUCUCAAAACAAAAUCUUCAGAAGUUUGAAGCUAGCUGCAGAGUCUCUUUUGCUGCAUGUUUGUAGUUGCACUUUUCGUUAAAACUUACGCAAAACAAACAAAAACUGUCUUUUUUACAUUCGUUUUUAUUGUUUUUAACGGGUCAGAGAGAAUUUCCUCGAUUUGUUUUCACAUAGGCAGUAUUAAACAGUUUUGGUGUGUGUAAAUGUUGAGAAAUGUGUAGGUGCUGUUAAAAAAACAAAAACACAAUGUUUCCUUAAUGUAGGAUGUCUGUAAUUUUUUUUUUAAUGCCUUCUGUGUGUUGAAGUUCAUGUAUGUCUGUUUUUGUUGAUGUUGCCAUAAUAUUUAUUGAAUUAUAUAUUUUUCCCUUAAAAUAAAUGAAAAAUAAAAUGAAAAUGGAUCUUUUUGAUAUGAAAUCUUUUCCUCUUUGCCAUUUGCAUAUAUAAAUAUAUAUAUUUUUCAUUUUUAAAUAUAAUUUUUAGAAGUAUAUCAUAUCCAUAAAGCCAGCAGAUAUAUUGAGAUUCAUCGUCUCAUUCCUUAUUACAUUCCAAGUAUGUGUGACUUUGCCUUGGGCAUCAGAUCUCUUCCUGUGUGCUCCUCAAAUUCAUUCACGCGGUUUCGGGUCACUUCCCCCUGAGGAAGGAUGUGACCUUCAGAUGACCUUCACCCAGCCCUUUCCAGAGCCUCCAUUCAUAAACCCCACAGGCCUACAGCUCAGCGCUGUCUGGCUUCAUUUCUCAUUUUGAGCCAAUAUAUGGCCAUGAUUUCGCUCAUCUUAUUUUUGUAUUGCGUAUAAGUCACACUGAUGCAAAGAGGAGAGCUUUACCUUAUUCUUUAUACAUUUAUGCAAUUUAAAACAUUCAGUGUGGCUUUCCUGAGACAAAUAUGGCAUCAAAUAGUCUAUAUGUGAACACUAUUCAACUGAAUAUGAAAGCUGUGGUUCAGGUAUUGAGAUACCACAUCGACAAGCUUCAGUCAAGGCCGGAAUUUUCACUGUUUUCUCCUCGGCGUCUUGUCUUUGUGUGAAUGCAGACUAAACACACACACUUUUUUACGGUCAAGAGUAUCAGGGGAUACUGUAUUUUCGCUUCUGACAGACAGCUAUGGCAGAGAUAAAUCCAGACAAUUACUAACACACACUGUGGUCCUGAUUAAUUGUGCGAGUUGUGAAAGUGCUUUGUUGUUACGCUGAGACAAUGCAGAGUGAAAGUGAUUCAUUACAGCAGCGUUUGACUGGAACACACAUUAAUAGUGUUUCCUUUACGCAUGAUAGCUCAUAUAUCACACGCAGAAACAUGGAAUAAAUUCACACAAGACAUGAUGAAUGAUAACGCAGGCCUGUCAGAUGGCUGUUUUCAUGCUUAUAAACAUUUUUAUUUAAAAAAAAAAAAAAAAACAGACAGAUGUAAUGAAAAUCUCAUAAGGCAGGGAACAGUGACGGUAUAAGAUUUACUUUUAAUACCUUUACACGGUACUGUAAAAUCUGCUAGAUUAAAUUUCUACAUAUAUUUUAAGUUGCAAUGUAUCAUUUAAAUUUGUUUUUAUAUUUAAA